GGGUUGUGAGGUUAAGCGACUAAGCGUACACGGUGGAUGCCCUGGCAGUCAGAGGCGAUGAAGGACGUGCUAAUCUGCGAAAAGCGCCGGCGAGGUGAUAUGAACCCUUGACCCGGCGAUGUCCGAAUGGGGAAACCCAGUGCAAUCCGUUGCACUAUCGUUAACUGAAUACAUAGGUUAACGAGGCGAACCGGGGGAACUGAAACAUCUAAGUACCCCGAGGAAAAGAAAUCAACCGAGAUUCCCCCAGUAGCGGCGAGCGAACGGGGAGCAGCCCAGAGUCUGAAUCAGCUUGUGUGUUAGUGGAAGCGUCUGGAAAGUCGCACGGUACAGGGUGAUAGUCCCGUACACGAAAAUGCACAGGCUGUGAACUCGAAGAGUAGGGCGGGACACGUGGUAUCCUGUCUGAAUAUGGGGGGACCAUCCUCCAAGGCUAAAUACUCCUGACUGACCGAUAGUGAACCAGUACCGUGAGGGAAAGGCGAAAAGAACCCCGGCGAGGGGAGUGAAAAAGAACCUGAAACCGUGUACGUACAAGCAGUGGGAGCACCUUCGGGUGUGACUGCGUACCUUUUGUAUAAUGGGUCAGCGACUUAUAUUCUGUAGCAAGGUUAACCGUAUAGGGGAGCCGAAGGGAAACCGAGUCUUAACUGGGCGUUAAGUUGCAGGGUAUAGACCCGAAACCCGGUGAUCUAGCCAUGGGCAGGUUGAAGGUUGGGUAACACUAACUGGAGGACCGAACCGACUAAUGUUGAAAAAUUAGCGGAUGACCUGUGGCUGGGGGUGAAAGGCCAAUCAAACCGGGAGAUAGCUGGUUCUCCCCGAAAGCUAUUUAGGUAGCGCCUCGUGAACUCAUCUUCGGGGGUAGAGCACUGUUUCGGCUAGGGGGCCAUCCCGGCUUACCAACCCGAUGCAAACUACGAAUACCGAAGAAUGUUAUCACGGGAGACACACGGCGGGUGCUAACGUCCGUCGUGAAGAGGGAAACAACCCAGACCGCCAGCUAAGGUCCCAAAGUCAUGGUUAAGUGGGAAACGAUGUGGGAAGGCCCAGACAGCCAGGAUGUUGGCUUAGAAGCAGCCAUCAUUUAAAGAAAGCGUAAUAGCUCACUGGUCGAGUCGGCCUGCGCGGAAGAUGUAACGGGGCUAAACCAUGCACCGAAGCUGCGGCAGCGACGCUUAUGCGUUGUUGGGUAGGGGAGCGUUCUGUAAGCCGUUGAAGGUGGCCUGUGAGGG
rnacentral:rRNA from 1 species